rnacentral:tRNA from 5 species
GCCGCCAUAGCUCAGUUGGUAGAGCACUCGGCUGUUAACCGAGCGGUCGUCGGUUCAAGCCCGACUGACGGCG